rnacentral:lncRNA from 1 species
CCUUUAAUGAUGUGAUGUGCCUUCACUGUUUUGUUAACAUAAGGUGUUGUGUCCAUCUUACAGGGUGCAAGAUAGGCUAAAAAUCUGCACGGUUUCAAAAAGUGACUGGAAAAAAAAAUCCACUGAAGAAAAUCCUCGGAGGAAAAAAAUCUGUCACAUAGAAAGAUUCCUUCUCAGUUUGAGGAAAUCCUUGAACCACAAAUAGCUGCAGGCUGGGAAGUCAUCCUGGAAGUGUGUCCUGACGGGAUGUGACUGAAGAACUUCGCUUCUUUAUCGGUUAUUGCUGGAAAACCUCUCGUGCAGUCAGUGUGCUGCCCAGAAGGACUCAGUGGAGCUCUGAUCUCCUUAACUCGUGCAGGCCCCAGGGCUUUGAUGUCUUUGUGCCAGCUACAUCGUUCCCCCGGGUCACUGAGGUCCUAACCAAGACACUGCUGUGUGCAUAA